UAACUCUGGUUUCUCUUCAGAUCAUAUAAAUCUUUUGCCUUUUACUAAAGAUUUCUGUGGGGGGGAACAGUUAUGAGUAUCCAAUUUUUGAGGCCUCGUGUUUCAUGAGGAU
ensembl:snRNA U5 U5 spliceosomal RNA